rnacentral:misc_RNA from 1 species
UCUCCGUAGGUGAACCAGCGGAGGGAUCAUUACUGAGUUAGGAACCUCUGGGUCCAACCUCCCCCCCCCUAUCAUUGUACCCUGUUGCUUGCCUCACCCCGCGUCACCCCCGCCGGGAGGCCACUGCCUCCGCGCCCGCGCUCGCCGAAUUCACCCUUCAACUCUGUCAGACGUUUGACGACUGAGCGAAUGCUAAAUACGUCAAAACUUUAAACAACGGAUCUCUUGGUUCCGGCACCGAUCACGAACCCAGCAGAUCGGAAGCGCACACCUCUGUAC